rnacentral:misc_RNA from 1 species
AACGCACCUUGCGCCUUGUGGUAUUCCACAAGGCAUGCCCGUUUGAGUAUCAUUAAAUCAUCAACCUCAAAACCUUUGUGUUUUCGAGGCUUGGUCUUGAGGGUUUGCAGGCCUUUACCGGUCAGCUCCCUUUAAAUCUAUUAGCGAGACUUCCCUGUGCUGACUGUCUCUUGGCGUGAUAAUUAUCUGCGUCAAACUUGACGGUCUCGUUGGGCUUGCUUCUAAUCGUCUUCGGACAACAGGAUCGAAGUGCAUAUAUGCGCCUCUUUUCAAACCUUUUUUGAUCUCAAAUCGGGUAGGAUUACCCGCUGAACUUAA